GAUUGAAAAAGUAAAGCUCUACAAGCUUCAAGAAGUGUCCUUUGUUUUCUUUCAACAACACCAUUUUGUUGAGGAGUGUGGGGACAAGUAGUUUGAUGAAUAAUGCCCUGUUGGUUGAAGAAAGAAGUACCAUCAAGACUAGACCCCAACUCCAAAACAUUAUCACUUCUUAUAGUCUGGACAAUAGCAUUAAACUGAGUUUUAACCAUACACAGAAAGGACUUAAUCAGGCAGAAAACAUUGCUUUUAGACCCCAGUAGAUGUGUCCAGGUUGCUCUAGAAAAAUCAUCAACUAUAGUAAGAAAGUACCUUGAGCCAGAGGAGGUGGGUGUGUGACUGAGUUUUAACCAUACACAGAAAGGACUUAAUCAGGCAGAAAACAUUGCUUUUAGACCCCAGUAGAUGUGUCCAGGUUGCUCUAGAAAAAUCAUCAACUAUAGUAAGAUAGUACCUUGAGCCAGAGGAGGUGGGUGUGUGAUAAGAACCACAAGUAUCUACAUGAAUCAAUUGGAAAGGUCCACAUGUACUGAUUGAACUAUCAUGGAAGGGAACCCUGGUUUGCCUAGCCAUAGGACAAAUAGAACAAGGAAAUGGUUGUUUAGAAGCAAGGGAAAAUGACAAAGCAGAAAUGUGUUUCAUGUUUGCAAAAGGAAUAUGAGCCAGUCUUAAUUGCCAAAUGUAAUUCAUGUCAUUUGCAUAAGCAUUAUUUCAAAUGGAACUAUUUACAUUUAAAGGCAAAGCAACAGUCUUAUGGCUAGAAGAAUAGACAGGAUUACAAGAAUCAGAAAGGGAACAUACAGAAGCAGAUGAGCAACAAUUAAAAGAAGAAUGUG
rnacentral:lncRNA from 1 species